rnacentral:tRNA from 1 species
UGCCCGAUGGUCAAGUGGUAUGACGGAAGACUUUGGAUCUUCAAUCCCUCGUUCGAGCCGGGGUCGGGCAA